AACAAGGUUUCCGUAGGUGAACCUGCGGAAGGAUCAUUAUUGAAAUAAACCUGAUGGGUUGUUGCUGGUUCUCUAGGGAGCAUGUGCACACCUUGUCAUCUUUAUAUCUCCACCUGUGCACCUUUUGUAGACCUUUCAGGUCUAUGUUGCUUCAUUUACCCCAAUGUAUGUUAAUAGAAUGUUGUGCCUAUAUAAUAUAUACAACUUUCAGCAACGGAUCUCUUGGCUCUCGCAUCGAUGAAGAACGCAGCGAAAUGCGAUAAGUAAUGUGAAUUGCAGAAUUCAGUGAAUCAUCGAAUCUUUGAACGCACCUUGCGCUCCUUGGUAUUCCGAGGAGCAUGCCUGUUUGAGUGUCAUUAAUAUAUCAACCUUCUCUUUUUGAGUGGUUUGGAUGUGGGGGUUUGCUGGCCUCUUAAAAGGUCUUGGCUCUCCUGAAAUACAUUAGCAGAACAACCCUGUUCAUUGGUGUGAUAACUAUCUACGCUAUUGAAUGUGAAGGGCAGUUUGGCUUUCUAACAGUCCUUGGACAAAGCUCAUCAUUAAUGUGACCUCAAAUCAGGUAGGACUACCCCCUGAACUUAAGCAUAUCAAUA
rnacentral:rRNA from 1 species